GUUAUAUAAGCCGCAGCGUCGAAAAAUGGGAAAAAAGGCGCGGCUUAUAGUCCGAAAAUUACGGUACUUAUUAUUGUACCUAAAGAAAGUCUGCCCUGAUACACACAGUAACUAAGUACUUUUACUUUGACUCUAUUCUGCCUAGCAACAGUUAUAGGUCAGCACAAGGAUUCUAACAAUGCUCUGCUCUGAUUGGUUAGCUGGCCGGCUCUGGUGUGAUUGCUCAACCACUUAGAGAUGUCCCGCCCCCAUUAGUCUAUCACGUACAAUGUGUUGGAGCUUCUAGCCAAUAGGAGCGUGAGAAUUCCGUUGUGAUGUCACCGUGUUCCGGAACCUUGGGAUUUGUAACCCUCUGCAGACCAUUUACAUGCACUAAAACCUAUAGAACACACACUACAGGAGCAGAACGAGGGCCUCUUUAAAGUGUGUGUGUGUGUGUGUCCUCAGGAGGACGUGGAGCAUGAGGAUGUGUGUGCGGUGUGUCAGGAGGAAGGAGAGCUCCAGCUGUGUCACGUCUGUCCGCGAGCCUUUCAUCCCACCUGCCUGCACCCCCCCCUCAGGACCCCCCCCCGGGGACCCUGGUACUGCCCCAAGUGCCAGAAGAAGGUGCUGAACAAAGAGAACAUGUCGUGGCCGCAGAACUUCGUCCAGUCCUACGUCACACACAAGACCGUUCGGCAGGAGGAGAAGCGGCGGCUGCUCCGGAGAAACUCAGAACUGAAGAAGGAGUUCACUCACCUGGAGGAGCAGGACGACAAACUGAACGACACG